rnacentral:lncRNA from 1 species
CUGGGAUUACAGGUGUGAGCCACCGCGCCCGGCCUGUUUUACGUUUUUAACAGAAUUAUUAUUAUUUUGAGACAGGGUCUGGCUCAGCUGCCCAGGCUGGAAUGCAGUGGCACGAUCAUGGCAAUGCAGCCUCAACCUCCCAGGCUCAAGCAAGCCUCCAACCUCAGCCUCCUGAGUAGCUGGGACCACUGGCAUGCAACCACACCCGGCUAAUACAACUGUUUGUAAAACUGAGAGAAAGCAAGUCUUUAGAAUGCACUUACUAAAUAACACGAAUUACAGGGAACAGUAACAUACUGCAUAUAGUGAUGUAGACUGUGGGAAACUACAAGGACAAAUGAGCCAGUCCUACCUCAGAAUAGUUCCAGCCAGAUAAAAGAACCCACAGAAUUAUGGUUAUGUUAUAAAAUAAAGCAAUUAAGUUUUAGAAAUCCAUCUUGAAAUAUUUGUGAUGGCUUGGAUUUGUUUGAAGUUGUCCACAAAGUAGUAGGUGGGGAGAUGGAGAAUAACUGUCCAUGAUUAGUAACUGUUGAAUCUGUGUGACAGGCACAUUAGCCUCAACCUCCUGGGCUCAAAUGAUCCUCCCACCUUUAGCCUCCCCAACGUAGCUGGGACCACAGGUGCAUGCCACCAAGCCGGGCUAAUUUUUUUUUUAAUUUUUUAGUAGAGGCAAGGUCUCUC